AAAAAAAAGUAAAACAAGAAAAAGGAUAAAAGAAGAAAAAGAAAGAAAAAGGUAAAUAAAUAAAAAUAUAUAAUAAUAAAAAAUAUAAAAUAAGAGAAAAAUAUUUAGGAAAGAAAAUGAAAAACUAAGUUGGGCAGGAGCAGUUUUCAAAUGCCAAAGGCAUGGCCAUGCCUAGAUUUAAAAAACAAGAAUAACAUUAAGAAUAAUUUAUCUCAGACAAGACCCAGUGUUUAACAGCUUGAAAAACACAAUAAAGCUGUUGAGAAGGGGCUCCUCUUUACUUGCUGAUUCAAAUCAUAUGUCAAACUUGUGUGUAACAGAAGGCUGCUGCCUCCCACAGCCCCAGAACAGCUGAGGGGAAGACUCGACCCUUAUCCCUGAGGGCUUAUCUCAAAUGCAACUUUCUGAUUUAUUAAUAAAGAAAUUUCUCUCCUCAACCCCAAAGUUUAAUCAGGGAAUGCCCCUGCACAGCUGUGGGCCAGGAGAGCAGGUCUUGGGGAUCAGCCCCUUAGCUCAGGUGGAGUUACUCCAGCUGAUGCUCUCUGCCAGGAGGUGGGUAGGUGCUCCUAGUCUCUUCUUGCCUUGCUACAGACCCUGGAGGUGCCUUUUGCUUCUCAAAUGGCAGGCUAGGAGAGAACAAAUCCCAGAGCUGCCUCGAGCCCAGCCACCUUGCUUUUUCCAUCUCCUCUGCCAGGCGCAUGUGGUGCACGAGCGAGGCUGAACCCAGAGCUGCUGGAACAGCAAGCCCGGGGGAUGCCUCAUCCAGGCAAGGGGACCCGUCCUGGCUCUCCAUGUUCUCGCAGUUCCUGGACAAGGGGUGAUUUGAGGGUGGGAGCACCCGUGAUGCCUGCAGAAGCCUGUCUGUAUGCAGAGUCCCUCCUUUGAGCUUCAGAGGGUGGAAGUGCCCUAUUAACUUGCCAUUCAGCCAUGCUGUACAAACCAGUGUUCUCUGACCAGUGACAUACUUCACCUGUGGAGUAGGACAGGACGCUUGGUGAUAACAGGGCAACUGGGUGACAAUGUCUCCCUCCCAUCUCCAGAUAGUUUGGAGAAACUGAUGGUUGUUGGGGAUCUGGGGCUGUUUUUGUCUGGCGAAUAUGAAUGUAUGGUGCUGGGUGGUCUUCAUGAGGAGUCUGUUUGUUACCAGCUCUGUGAAAACAUCUUGCAUCCUGUGGCUCCUCUGCUCCUGGGGACCCAGCCUCCUGCUCCAGGUAGGUGGGGAGGCAGCUACACGCUGCACACAUUGACUCCUGUGCAUCAGCGAGGAGGCAGAGCCAUAGGAUGGGUUUGUUUUUUUUCUGAAGUUGCCAAGUAAUGGGGUAACUGUGGCCAAUGAAGGCCUGUGGUCAUGAAAUUAUGCUGGUGCCUCAGAACCCUGCCUUCAAACAGAGCUUGUGGGGAGGGAUUUCCCCAGAAGCACUGGUAGCUCUUUGUCCCACUUAUUUGCAUCACUGUGCUUGAACUUACCUGAAAUGUCAUCAUUAUGCUCAGCCCAGGCUUGUAACUGCUCUAUUUUUCUGAGCACAUAAAAGUAAAGGUGCUUUGCAGCAAUUACUUUAACAGUC